rnacentral:rRNA from 1 species
GAUGAACGCUGGCGGCGUGCUUAACACAUGCAAGUCGAACGAGAAGUGAAGACGGAAACCUUCGGGCGGAAGGCUUUAUUUCGAGUGGCGGACGGGUGAGUAACGCGUGGGUAACCUGCCUCAUACAGGGGGAUAACAGUUGGAAACGACUGUUAAUACCGCAUAAGACCACAGCACCGCAUGGUGCGGGGGUAAAAACUCCGGUGGUAUGAGAUGGACCCGCGUUCGAUUAGCCAGUUGGCGGGGUAACGGCCCACCAAAGCGACGAUCGAUAGCCGAUCUGAGAGGAUGACCGGCCACAUUGGGACUGAGACACGGCCCAAACUCCUACGGGAGGCAGCAGUGGGGAAUAUUGCACAAUGGGGGAAACCCUGAUGCAGCGACGCCGCGUGAGUGAAGAAGUAUUUCGGUAUGUAAAGCUCUAUCAGCAGGGAAGAAAAUGACGGUACCUGAGUAAGAAGCCCCGGCGAACUACGU